UCGAACGUCCCUGGGUGUCCGUUGUCGCGAGCGAAAGAUCCACCGCGUUGCCAAGCCGCAACAAAAAAGCCCCGACACGCGGGGCUU
rnacentral:antisense_RNA from 1 species